GGUCGCAUAGCUCAGCCGGUUAGAGCGCUUGCCUCACAUGCAAGAGGUCCGGUGUUCGAGUCACCGUGCGACCA
rnacentral:tRNA from 1 species